rnacentral:snoRNA from 1 species
AUGUCGUGAUGAGGGCACUUUCGUAAUAACUCCUUGAAUCGCUCUCAUGGCUCAUAUUCUUCAUCAAGUUGAUUAAAUGAAGUGAUUUCAUUUCGGAUCUU